rnacentral:rRNA from 1 species
UUUCCAGCCGCCGCGGUAAUACGGAGGGUGCUAGCGUUGUUCGGAAUUACUGGGCGUAAAGCGCGUGUAGGCGGCCCGCUAAGUCUGAUGUGAAAGCCCGGGGCUCACCCCCGGAAGUGCAUUGGAGACUGGCGGACUCGAGUCCCGGAGAGGAGGGUGGAAUUCCUGGUGUAGCGGUGAAAUGCGUAGAUAUCAGGAGGAACACCGGUGGCGAAGGCGGCCCUCUGGACGGUGACUGACGCUGAGACGCGAAAGCGUGGGGAGCAAACAGGAUUAGAUACCCCUGUAGUCC